UACGGAGGGGGCUAGCGUUGUUCGGAAUUACUGGGCGUAAAGCGCACGUAGGCGGCUUUGCAAGUUAGAGGUGAAAGCCCGGGGCUCAACUCCGGAAUUGCCUUUAAAACUGCAUCGCUAGAAUUGUGGAGAGGUAAGUGGAAUUCCGAGUGUAGAGGUGAAAUUCGUAGAUAUUCGGAAGAACACCAGUGGCGAAGGCGACUUACUGGACACAUAUUGACGCUGAGGUGCGAAAGCGUUGGGAGCAAACAGG
rnacentral:rRNA from 1 species